CGUCAUAUAACUUAGCUAAGAUAAUUCUUUCUAUAGAUGUACCGAAACCUAUCUCAAUCUUGUUACAUAUGUUUUGGUCAUUUGUGGCAACAGAUUCAAAGACCGAAAAUCUUUUUCCCUGAAAAAGACUGCAAAUGAACCCAAAUUUGUCUUUGCUCCAGUGAUUAUAAUCUCGUGGUGUCUCGUUGUCUUCGUCGCUUACCCAGCCAGAGCUUGCUGCACAGAGGAGUUGCCUGUCGUCUUCUUCGCUGGCCUCGUCAGAGCCUAUUGUACAAAGAAGUUUGUCGUGGUCGUCGUCGUUGGUUUUGUCGGAGUUCACCGUAUAGAGGAGCUCACCGUGCCGUGCAGAGGACGUUAUCCGCAGCAACAAGGUAGCUUAAUUCAUGGCUAUAGACUAUGGAGUCUAUUCAAACUUCAAAGUAAUGGCGGCCAAGGAUGACACAUGACUAGCACUACAUUCAAUUUAGGGAGGAGUGGGUCGGGUGGUUCUUGGAGUCGGGUUUGGGUUGUAGGGCAUAGCCCAAGUCCAAAAACAAAAAAACUCGUAUUUAUAUGAAAUUGAUAGUUAAAAACUGUUAAAUAGUUUAAUA